AACCCACGUGACCGCCACGCCCCAACCACCUUCCCUUUAAGCCGUCCCUUUAACAGCUGGGACCCUCAUGUGUAUUUCCGGGUUUCCACUGUGCUGCUGCUCACUGUUGGUUGUGGCGUCGGUUGUUAACAAAACAAUCUCAAAUCUCCAACUCGACUCAUCGCUGAACAAAUUCAUCCCUAAAACUCGAGGAUCUGCGGUUGGGCUUUGUUGAUGCCUGGUUUACCUUCUGAUGAGAACAAGUAACAUCCACUUCCUCAGACAAUCCGUUACUCGACGGUCAGGUUUUUUUUCUCCCCCUUCAUCGACUCGCUUGAUGACGGAGGAUGGCGAGCUACCCACACACCACCUGGUGGUAGGAAAAAGAGACACUUUCCACACAGGAAAACCAAACGACACUUUCCACACAGGAAAACCAAACGACACUUUCCACACAGGAAACAAAAUAAACUCUAAGGGAGUAUCUAAAGGAAAAGAACAAUUCUCCCGUUGCUCUUGGACUUUUGAACUACAUUUAGUUUUGAAGUAUUAUUAUUUCUUUGUUGG